rnacentral:lncRNA from 1 species
GCAACUCAAAAAAAAUACUUCUUUUCUUCCACAAGUCCGCCUCAUUAGGGUCAUCCUCCUCGUCAGAUUCAUCAUCAGAUUCAUCCCUCGAUCGUCUAUCUGUUUGCCUGUUAGAUGGUUGAUUUAGCUUCCCGUAACUGAAAUCCAUAUCUUUUAACAUGAAUAAGAUUUCAGAUCCAAUGGUCUGCUCAGGAGCUUUUUUCAACUCUUCAGUACCGUCAAAUAAAGCCUUCUGAAAUCUAUAUCUAUGAUUUUCAUCUAACCACCGACGAUGCCCCAUAUAGCAGAACUUCUUCCCA